UCCAGAAAUCAUAGCUGAUAAGACCAACAUCACAAUCAGAAAUUUAAGCCCGAAGAAAGAAAUCUUUUGAUCAGUUGGUCUGACUGAUGAGAAAACCCAGACCCAGAAAAUAUGUGUGUUAUCCCAGUUCCUUCAGCAGGCUGAGACCCAACCUCACACCCCUCUCACCCCUCCCUAGUGUGCCACUCUGCGGCUUCAUCACACAAGGACAUGAGAGAGGAAACAAUAACCUUUCUCACUUCUGAAUAUAAGACAAACGAGAACGUUGGGAUGGAUCUUGAAGGAUGCCAGGAGUCACUGCUUGUUUUUUUUUUUAAAGUUCCCUCACUUCUGUGCUACUCUCCUUCCUGUUACUGGGGCAAGUACAUAAUUACUAGGUGGUUUCUCAUUUACA